AUCCAGUUAGAAGCUCUGUUUACGUUUUUUAGUAUGCUCGCUCGCCCCCACGUUUACGACGUUUUACGUCGUCUCGUGGGCCUGGAUAAAACGUGUUGACGUCUUUAAUUAAUCUGCGUUCAACCACGAGCCUCACAUCUCAAGCCUCUCAGCAUUCUCCCCACCAAAUCGUAGAGGAUGCCGAAGCACGACCCGUUCAGCCCCAAGGGCAUCGCGAACAGAAUCAAGUCCAAGGGUCUUCAGAAACUGCGAUGGUACUGCCAGAUGUGUCAGAAACAAUGCCGGGACGAGAAUGGUUUCAAGUGUCACACGAUGUCGGAGUCGCACCAGCGACAGCUCCUCCUGUUUGCGGAAUGUCCGGGAAAAUACCUGGGAUCGUUCUCCAAAGAAUUCGCUGACAGUUUCCUGGAGCUACUCAAGAGACGAUUCGGUACCAAGCGAGUGCAUGCCAACCAGGUGUACCAGGAGUACAUCGCUGACAAGCAGCACCUGCACAUGAAUGCCACCCGGUGGCUCACCCUCACCUCGUUUGUCAAGUGGCUCGGCCGUGAGGGCCAUUGCACUGUUGACGAGACUGAAAAAGGAUGGUUCAUCACUUACAUUGACCGGGAUCCAGACACCAUUCGAAGGCAGGAGUCGUUGGCCAAGAAAGAAAAGCUCGACCUAGAUGACCAGGACCGGCUCGCCAAGUUCAUCGACCGGCAGAUCGAGCGUGACCGUGGGCGGAAAGGAGAAGAGGCAACAACCACAGAUUUCACGGGACUGAAACGAGAAAACGAAGAGGAAAAAGUUGUUUUCAAGUUAGCUGCUUCCUCAUCGAAACAGCAAGAAGAAGCAGCUCAAAAGGAAUCAAAGAAGGUGAAUCCGCUGGAAGUGGCUGCCAAGGCCGCGGAAAAGCACAAGGCACCAUCGUCAUCUUCGUCGACCUGCGGCGAUGGCGAGCCGAAGUCCAAGAAAGCGGCAAAGCUUUCGGCCCUGGACGAGAUCAUGCUCGAGCAGGAGAGAAAGCGGGAGCAGAUCAAUCGCCGGGCCUACUGGAUCACUCGCGACAUUGUUGUCAAAGUGAUGGCCAAGAAGCUGGGCGACAAGUACUACAAGAAGAAGGGCGUCAUCGAGGAAGUGCAAGACCGGUAUGUGGCAACAGUUCGCAUGCUGGACAGCAACGACAAGCUACGGCUGGACCAGAGUCACCUGGAAACAGUCAUUCCCAACAUUGGACGGCGUGUCAAGAAGCAUUGGACAAAGCAACUCCUCAACUGGUAAUGGAGGCCCCGAAGUCCUGGACAUCCAAUGUCCAGCUUGUCAUUAUCAGAAGUCAUCGCACAGAAGCAUUGGUCGUCAAUGGUGCCUACCGGGGCCAAGAAGCUACUCUGCUUGAAGUGGACCAGGCGGGCUUCUGUGCAAAACUCCGGCUUGAUGCUGGACUUAUCAGCGGUCGCAUACUCGAAAGAGUUCCAUACGAAGACUUCUCC
rnacentral:misc_RNA from 1 species